GACGAACCGUGCGAACGUUGUUCGGAUUCACUGGGCUUAAAGGGCGCGUAGGCGGCUUGCCAAGUCAGGGGUGAAAUCUUUCGGCUUAACCGGAAAAGUGCUUCUGAUACUGGUGGGCUGGAGGGAGGUAGGGGCAGAUGGAACUUCCGGUGGAGCGGUGAAAUGCGUAGAUAUCGGAAGGAACGCCGGUGGCGAAAGCGAUCUGCUGGACCUCUUCUGACGCUGAGGCGCGAAAGCCAGGGGAGCAAACGGG
rnacentral:rRNA from 1 species